UGGGGAAUUUUGGACAAUGGGGGAAACCCUGAUCCAGCCAUCCCGCGUGUGCGAUGAAGGCCUUCGGGUUGUAAAGCACUUUUGGCAGGAAAGAAACGUCAUGGGUUAAUACCCCGUGAAACUGACGGUACCUGCAGAAUAAGCACCGGCUAACUACGUGCCAGCAGCCGCGGUAAUACGUAGGGUGCAAGCGUUAAUCGGAAUUACUGGGCGUAAAGCGUGCGCAGGCGGUUCGGAAAGAAAGAUGUGAAAUCCCAGAGCUCAACUUUGGAACUGCAUUUUUAACUACCGGGCUAGAGUGUGUCAGAGGGAGGUGGAAUUCCGCGUGGAGCAGUGAAAUGCGUAGAUAUGCGGAGGAACACCGAUGGCGAAGGCAGCCUCCUGGGAUAACACUGACGCUCAUGCACGAAAGCGUGGGGGGCAAACAGG
rnacentral:rRNA from 1 species